GAUGAACGCUGGCGGCGUGCCUAAUACAUGCGAGUCGAGCGAACAGAUAAGGAGCUUGCCCCUUUGACGUUAGCGGCGGACGGGUGAGUAACACGUGGGUAACCUACCUAUAAGACUGGAAUAACUCCGGGAAACCGGGGCUAAUGCCGGAUAACAUUUAGAACCGCAUGGUUCUAAAGUGAAAGAUGGUUUUGCUAUCACUUAUAGAUGGACCCGCGCCGUAUUAGCUAGUUGGUAAGGUAACGGCUUACCAAGGCAACGAUACGUAGCCGACCUGAGAGGGUGAUCGGCCACACUGGAACUGAGACACGGUCCAGACUCCUACGGGAGGCAGCAGUAGGGAAUCGUCCGCAAUGGGCGAAAGCCUGACGGAGCAACGCCGCGUGAGUGAUGAAGGUCUUCGGAUCGUAAAACUCUGUUAUUAGGGAAGAACAAAUGUGUAAGUAACUGUGCACGUCUUGACGGUACCUAAUCAGAAAGCCACGGCUAACUACGUG
rnacentral:rRNA from 1 species